AGUGAACGCUGGCGGUAGGCCUAACACAUGCCAGUCGAACGGCAGCACAGUAAGAGCUUGCUCUUACGGGUGGCGAGUGGCGGACGGGUGAGGAAUACAUCGGAAUCUACUUUUUCGUGGGGGAUAACGUAGGGAAACUUACGCUAAUACCGCAUACGACCUACGGGUGAAAGCAGGGGAUCUUCGGACCUUGCGCGAUUGAAUGAGCCGAUGUCGGAUUAGCUAGUUGGCGGGGUAAAGGCCCACCAAGGCGACGAUCCGUAGCUGGUCUGAGAGGAUGGUCAGCCACACUGGAACGGAGGCACGGUCCAGACUCCUACGGGAGGCAGCAGUGGGGAAUAUUGGACAAUGGGCGGAAGCCUGAUCCAGCCAUACCGCGUGGGUGAAGAAGGCCUUCGGGUUGUAAAGCCCUUUUGUUGGGAAAGAAAAGCAGCAGGUUAAUACCCCGCUGUUCUGACGGUACCCAAAGAAUAAGCACCGGCUAACUUCGUG
rnacentral:rRNA from 1 species